rnacentral:lncRNA from 10 species
UUUAAUUGACUCAUGGUUCUGCAGGCUGUACAAGAAGCACGGUGCCAACAUCUGCUCAGCUUCCGGUGAGAGCCUCAGGAAGCUCACAAUCAUGACAGAAGACGACAGGGAGCCAGCAUGUCACAUGGAGCUAGCAGGAGCUAGAGUGACAGCAGGAGAGGUGAUACCCUCCGAAACAAGAUCUCACGCACUCAGAGAACUCACUAUCACCAAGGGGGUUGUGCUAAGCCAUUCAUGAGGGAUCUGCCCCCUGAUCCAAUACCUCCGUAUAGGCUCACCUCCAACAUGGGGGAUCACAUUUCAACAUGAGAUUUGAAGGGGUCACACAUCUAAACCAUAUCAUUAUACAAUCAGUUGAAGGCCUUUUUUUUAAUUUUUUUAUUUUUCCACAGUUUUCACUCAGUCACCCAGGCUGGAGUGCAGUGGUACAAUCAUCUCAUCACAGCUUCAAUCGCCCAGGCUUCCCGAGUAGUUGAGACUAUUGGCACUGGCUAAUUUUUUUUUUUUUUUUUUUUUUUGACACAGGCUGCCUAUAUUGCCAGGCUGGUCUCGAAUUCCUGAGCUCAAGCAAUCCUUCCGUCUUGGCCUCCCAAAGUGCUGGGAUUACAGACAUGAGCCACCAUGCCCAGCCCAGUUGAAGGCCUUAAUAAAAAAAGGCUAACCUUUCCCAAAGAAGAAGGAAUUCCUCUGGGCUUGAACUGUAACAUCAACUCUUCCCAGCCUGUUGUCUCAAAUACAUGCCUUAUUUUGAAUUCUAAAACAUGAAGCUUAAAACUAAUGUUAAAGUAAUAAGAUUGUAUUAGUUUGCUAAGGCUGCUCUAAGAAAGUACCACAGGUUUGGGACUUGUCAGCCUCUACAGCCACUUGUGCCAAUUCCUUAAAAUCCUCCCCUCAAGCCUACAUUUGUAUAUUGGUUCUGUUUCUCUGGAGAACUAAUACAGGGGCCAUUCUGCAAUAAGAACCAUGCAUUUUACAGGAUAUGAAGGCCCAUAAUCCCCAGAAAGCUUAAUAAUAAUGUAUGAUAUUCAAGGAUACUCAACGAGUUUGUGAUCUAGUUAGCAAGCGUAUAAAACAUUAGAAGACACCAAAGACAACAAUGCAGAAGUCACUAGUUAAUAAAUGAUUUACAAGUAUAAACAUUGCCUCCCAGAGGAAUGUUGGAAUGACAAAAAUACUGGUUAAGGACACUUGCCAACCUGGUGAGCCCAUAAAAUAGUAUAAAUGUAUAACUAAGCCAAGUUGUCAGUAAGUUUCUCAACAAAGAUAAUGCAUUUUAUGGCUGGUAAUAAAACUUGGGGUAGAUAAUAUCUUCAUCCCUGGCAUUUGCCGUAUUGCCCUCAGUGUACCAUUUUCCAUGCUUUAUUCUGAAAUCUAAAAACAUUAAGCUUAAAACUAAUGUAAAGUAAUGGGGUUGUUUGAGUUUGCUAAGGUUGCUAUAAGAAAGUAUCACAAACGGAGCAGCUUAAACAACAGAAAUUUGUCUCACAGUUCUGGAGGCUAGAAAUUCCAGAUCAAGGUAUUGUCAGGGCCAUGCUCCCUUUCAAGGUGUUAGAGAGAAUCUGUUCCAUGCCUCCCUCUUAGUUAGCUUCUGAUAGUAUGCU